rnacentral:rRNA from 1 species
CCUACGGGGGGCAGCAGUGGGGAAUAUUGGACAAUGGGCGAAAGCCUGAUCCAGCCACGCCGCGUGUGUGAUGAAGGCCUUCGGGUCGUAAAGCACUGUGGGGAGGGAAGAACGAGCAGUGGGCUAAUAUCCCAUUGCAGUGACGGUACCUCCUUAGCAAGCACCGGCUAACUCCGUGCCAGCAGCCGCGGUAAUACGGAGGGUGCAAACGUUGCUCGGAAUUAUUUGGCGUAACUGGCGUGUCGAGGGUGACAGCCCUGGGCUUAGCCUAGGAAGUGCGCUCGAAACUGGCAGGCUUGCGUACGGGAGAGGGUCGCGGAAUUCCCGGUGUAGAGGUGAAAUUCGUAGAUAUCGGGAGGAACACCAGUGGCGAAGGCGGCGACCUGGACCGAUACUGACGCUGAGACGCGAAAGCGUGGGUAGCAAACAGGAUUAGAUACCCCGGUAGUC